rnacentral:rRNA from 1 species
UAAUACGUAGGGGCCGAGCGUUGUCCGGAGUUACUGGGCGUAAAGCGCGCGCAGGCGGCCAUCUAAGCCCGGCGUGAAAGCCCCCGGCUCAACCGGGGAGGGUCGUCGGGGACUGGGUGGCUUGAGGACGGCAGGGGCUGGUGGAAUCCCCGGUGUAGUGGUGAAAUGCGUAGAGAUCGGGGGGAACACCCGUGGCGAAGGCGGCCAGCUGGGCCGUUCCUGACGCUGAGGCGC